rnacentral:lncRNA from 1 species
CACCUCUUUCUCCUUAUGCUUCUUUCCUUUUUUCUUCUUCUUCUCUUCUUUCUCUUCAUCUUCUUCUACCACCUCUUUAUCCUCGUGUUUUCCUUCUUUCUUCAUCUCCACCUCCUUGUCUUUUUUCUUUUUUUUCUCUGUGUUCUCAUCAUCUUCUUCAUCUUUGUGCAUCUUCUCCUUCUUCUCCUUUUUCUCUUUCCUUUUCUCCUCUUUAUUCUUCAUUUCUCCAAUUUCACUAUCCUUGUGUUUUUCCUUAUCCUUCUCUUUAUGUUUCUCCCCCUUAUCCUCCUCCACUGAUUUGGUCUCCAAUUCAAGUUCGACCUCAGCCUUCCCUUCCUUCUCAUGGUUUGGCUCCAUAUCCUUUACCUUCGCUUUGAAAUGCAGUUUUUCCUUCUUCACCUUUUUUCCUCCGCUAACAAUUGAUUCAAAUGUACCUUGCAACUCAGAACCCUUUGCCACAAAUUGAAACUCGAAUGUAAGUCUUCCCUGAUUUUUCAGCAAAUUCCCUAAAAAAGAUGCCAGAUAUAAAUAAGCACGGACAAAAUACAACCAAACAUGAACAGACUAUAAGAUUCAUUAAAAGACACAACAUGAUGGUUGGUAUAUUACAACUACUGGCAUUACAUAUAAAAGCAAGUUUAGCACAAAACUUCUGAUAAUAGAAGCAUGAUGUUCAAAAUUUCAAACAUAAAAGUGAUCCGGCUUUUAUGCAAGGAUGAAUUUGUGCCCUUCAAGUAACUUGAUUCCGUAUACUUCCACUACAAUCAUAUGCUAAUAGAAGGAAUAAACAGAAAGAGAAAAAUAAACCACAACGAAACCCAAAAAAAGUUGUACUAAUUUGAUUCAACGGAAUGAGAAAACUGACAUUUCAAGCAAAUAUAAUAGCAGGAAAAACAGUGGUAGCAUAAAAGGUUUCAAUGAUAAAUCAACACAAGUUUUUCCGUACCCUUGGCAUUUUCUUACUCCCUAUACCUACUUUACUUCCAAGAAGAAGGUUAAUAUAGACUGGUGAAAUACGCAUGCGUAUAAGAAAUCGAUUUAGAUAUCAAAAACAUUUGCCAAACCUGGUGCGACAUUGUAACCUUGCACAAUUAACACACUAUACUACUGCAGGGAGCAGAAACUCCACUGCUACCAGAUUCAGACACUCUCCAAUCAUCAUUACAACCCCUACAACCUAGAGGACAAGCCAUUACAACCAGUUGCCGCUACCCUCAAGAUCGACCGAGUCACAAUGGAGUUGACCUUUGUAAUCCUUACUCAAGCAUGUUAUCGUAAAUUCCAUGUUUAAAACAACAGACACAGAUAUUCACCCACAUGAUACACUAAACAGUCCAGAUCUUAAUCACUAUAUUCAUCAACAUGAAGGUAUUUAAAGAAAAACACAAGUUAUUGAAAUCUAUAUUUAUCAUUUAUCUGUAAGAAUCCAAAUGAUCUAAAAUAGAACAGUUGUUGUCCUAGAACAAGCUUAACUAAUGCUAUCCCACCCAGUAAAUUACCUUUGACAGAUAAGCGUUCCAUUGUUGACACUUUUGCCUCCCAAGAAAUUCCCAAUUUCCUUAUUCUCAGUGAUAUAACUCGAAUUAUUGUAAGAAGGAAGAAAUUAAGAAGUUGCAGCUAGACCAAUACAAAGGAACAGUUUUAUGAAGAUGAUUUAAAGGGAAUGAAAGAGAAGCACAUGCUUCCUGAAAUAUAUUGAUCAUCUUCCUUAAAUCUAAACUAUAAUUAUGCUAUUAGCCAAAAGAACAAUAGAACUUGUUAUUCGUUCUUGGAGGAGCAUCUACAGAUCACUUCACAAACCAAGAAAAAAACCCAGAUUCAAUUUCGGAUCAAUAAAAAUGGAACCUUUAUACUAACAAGCAGUCAGAAAAAGAAAUGGGUGGAAUAGAUAAACAAGAAAGAUGUUGAAACAUCCAAAAACCAAAUCCAGAGAGGUAUGUACCUUGAAUGGCUAAGAGGGGCAGAUGCAAAAUAGUUUUCUUUUUGUUGUUUAAGGACAGAAACAGAAGUGGGUGGAGUUAUGUAGGAAGUGGGAAAGGUUCACAUACUCAAUUUAUAGCAGGCAGUUGGGUAUAGAUUGUUCCACCCGCCAAGGAUCCAAAGCAUAGCUGGCACACGCAAUGGACACAAAGACUUAAGCCUUAAGUUGCAGAUAGAAAGAGGGGUCAAGUCAGUUGAAGGGAUGACAUGACAAAAUAAAAAAAUAUAAAAUAAACAAAAAUGGAGUUAUAAGCCUCAAGAGAUUCCAGAUCUUCAUAAAUAUAAAAAUAAAAGAGAUUAUACAUUUUUUAUAAAUACUAGAAUGACCAAAUGAGCACCCAGCUUACGCGGGGUUCUACCUUCUUAUAUAUAUAUAUAUAUAUAUAUAUAUUAUAAUUUUAAUUAAUUAAUAGCAAAUAGUUUUAAUUAAAUUUUUAUUUUUAAAAUUUAAUCGUAUGAUUAUUAAUAUCUAUGAUAUUUUAUUAAUUAUAAAUUUAAAAUAAUGAUUUAAAAUUGGAUACCAGUUUUAUACUGACUUAUGAAUUAUUCUAUAGAUCAAUUAUAGAAUAAUAUAAAAAGAAAUUCUGUGCGAAUUGGCCAUGCUGGAUAUGUAAAUCAUUCAAUUCAAAUUUAAAAUGAGCAUAAUUGUAUUUUUAAUUUGUCAAUAAUAUGCGAGUCAAACAUAAAAACCAAUUUUUUAUAUGAAUAGUUUAACAUUAAAAUGUAAAUUUAAAUAUUUUUUUAAACAUAAAUUUUAUUAUAAAUUCUUAUUAUAUUUUUUAUAAAAUGUUUAAAAUUGUUCAUAGUCCCUCUCCAACUUUUAAAUGAAAAAAUAAUAUGUUUUAGUGCACUCGAACUUACGUAUUAUUGUGCUGAUAACAAUGCAAAUACUAAUUAAACUAUAACUUAAUCAAUAUUAUUCAAAUAUUUUUAAAUAGGUAAUUGACCAAACUUUUUAAAAAUAUAUAAGUAAUUAAAUUGAAUAGAUAAAAAAAACUUAAAAUGUAACAUGAAAAUUAAAAUAAAUAUCGAUACUUAAAAUAUAUAUGAUACCAAUUAUUAACUUAAAAAUAAUACAAAAUUAUUCUUUUUUAUCAUUUCUUCAUUUCCUCCACAUUUUCUUUAUUUUUCUUUUUUAUUAGCCCCUUCUCUCAUUCUACGGUGUUUUCGUGUGUUUACUUUUUAUUAGUAGUUAUAGAUUUGGAUGAGGUUAAAAUAUGUUAUAAGCAUUUUUAUUUUUUUAUAAAUUUGAAAUUUAGCUCUUGUAGUUUUAUUUUUUGGAAUUUAGUUCUUUUAUUUUGCUGGUUUCAUAAUUUAGAUCCAAUUGUUAAAAUUGUUAAAAUUAUUUUAUUAAAUCUAAGCUUAUUACAAUGCCAUUCUUUUAGUUACAUAACUACCAACUGAGUAUUUUUUUUAUUUUAAAAUGUCACACCAAAAUUCACAAAAAAAAAACUAACAAGGUUAAUAAUUAGACCUAAAUUUUGAAAUUUAAAAAAAAUAAAAAGACUAAAUUUAUAGAAAUAAAAUUAUAGAGACUAAAUUCUAAAUUUGUGAAAAGUACUAGAUUUAUGGCAUAUUUUAACUUGAUUAUUAGAUUCUGUGGAGUUUAUUAUUAACUCCUAAAAUUUCGUAGGUGGUUAAAAAAAGUAUAAUUUUAAAUGUAGUCCUCGACUUUUUUUUUGUCAAUUUAGCUUUUAUUAAUUUUUUUAACUAAAUUUAGCCAUUUGUGUUUCAAAAAGUGUCAAAUAGCUUAUUUUUAACAAAAUGUCUACUAAAACAUUUAUUUUUUUUAACAAUGUUGGCAUGGCAACUAACAUGGGAAUCGUGUGUAGUUCAUGCUAACAUGGUACAAUUUAUCUUAUAUGUCAUGUCAACAAAUAAUUUAAAAUUUAUGAUAAAUUUAAAAAAUAAAAAUUAGCAUAAAGCACAUGUGAAUUGUCAUACGAGCUAUCAUGUUAAAAAAAUUUAUGUUUUAUUGUAUUUGAUGUUUUAUAUUUUUUAAUUUGCUUUAUAUAAAAAUAAUAUAUAUAAAAAUUAAUACGGACAGGCCGAGCCAAGCUCAGAUUUAGUAUUUUUUAUCCAAGUCGAGCUUAGGCAAAAUUUUAGACCUUUUUUUUGAGUCAAGCUAGGCCAAUUUUAUAAAAUUUUACAUAUCGCCCGACCCAUUAUUAGGUCUAGGCACGACUUGCCCAAAUAGCUUAUUUUAUAGUUUAAAAAAUAGCAAAAAUAUUUCUAUUUACAUUUAAUUAUUAAAAUAUAUCAUAUUAAUUUUUUUUACAUUUUUACUAUUCCGUUAAAAUAUGGUACUUAUUUUUAAAAAGAUUAAUAUAAUAUUUGGUACCUAAGCUUCUUUUGCCCACUUUGAUAUUACAACUUGAUGUUUUUUUCUUAAUCUAGUAUAUAAAAUUUCUUUUUGGUCCAAUUUAAUACCUAAACUUGUUAAAUGUUAUAGUAAUUAACCAAAACACUAACUGUGUUAGUUUUUUUAUAAGGGGACAUAAAUAGCUAACGUAUAGCUAACAUGUGACAAAUAACAUGAAAUUUAAUAGUAUGAAUGAAUACAUUUAUUUGGACUUUUCUCUGUUUCGCUAAACAAUAUACUAAAAAUUUAUGUUUUAUUGGGAUUGAGCUUACUUUGACUAUCAAUGGUGGGAAUGAUUUAAGAGGGACCGCAUGCUUAAAGCAUGGCCUCGUCUUCACAAAGCCCUCAAUUUCACAAAAAUAUCAUUAGUAUCACAAAAAAUUGGUGUUAAAAAAUUAUGUUUUGAGCUAUACUUAAUGGAUUGAUAUUGAAGAAGAAAACAAGACUUUUAGAAACCCAAAAUAAAAUAAAUUCAUUCUGUUAAUUUAAAAAAUUAAACUAAAAAUUAUUAAACAUUUAAAAUAAAAAAAUCCAUGUCAUCUACCGCGUGGUCAUACAUUGAUUAUUUUUGCUACCUCAUAAAAAAUAAUAUUAUUAAUAUAUCGGAGUAAUUAGUCUAAUACUUAACAAAUUUAGGUACCAAAUUAGACAAUAAAAAAUUUAGGUACUAAAUUUAAAAAAUAUAUCAAAUUUAAAUACCAAAUCAUACAAAAAGAAAUUAAGUACCAAAUAAGAAAAAAAAAACCCUUAAUUCAGAUAUCAAAUACCAGGUUAAGCAGAUGAACAUGUAAGUACUAAAUUAUGAAUGAUUUGUUAUUACUAUGAGAUAAUUUUUGUUAUUGAGAGAAAAUCAAGACUUAAUUUGUAUUUGAUUGGUUUUAGUUAUGUUAAGCAUUGUUAGUUGUAAAUGAAUUUUUUUUUCUUUUUCAUAUCAUAAAUUAGGAAGUUUGGUUCAAAUAGUUUAGAGUUUAAUAGGGAAAACAAGCUUCAUGAUCAAAUUACAUAACCUUAAAUCAUUAAUAAAAAUAUUUAUUAAGUUUCAACUGAAAAUAGUGUAUCAACCCCCAUAGUUUGCUUUUCCCUUAAGUUUCUUCUUCCUCAUCUUUCUUCUUCUUCUUCUCUUUUACCUCUUCUAUUUCUUCAUCAUCCUUUGCCUCCUUGUCUUUCUUUUUCGUUCUCUCUUCCUCUUCACCUUUCAACUUCUUUUCUUUCUUUUUCUCCUUAACCUCCUUGUCUUUCUUCUUUUUCUUCUCAUCUUCUUCUAUACCAUGCUUCUUUUCUUUAUUUUUCUCUUUCUCUUCCUUGUCUUUCUUCUUCUUUUUCUUCUCAUCUUUCUCUUCGUCUUCUUCUAUGGUCCCUUCUUUCUUCAUCUCCGUUUCCUUAUCUUUUUUCUUUUUCUUCUCAUUGUUCACACCAGCUUCAUCAUCUUUGUGAAUCGUCUCCUCCUUAACUUUUUUCUCUGAUGUAUUCUUCAUCUCUCCAACUUCAUUAUCCUCGUCUUCUUCUCUAUAUUUCUCUUUCUUCUUCUUUUCUUUCUCCUUCUUCGAUUUGUCCUUAUCCUUCUCUUUAUGUUUCUCUCCCUUUUCCUCCUUAUGCAUUAGCUUUUCCUUCUCCAUUGAUUUGGUCUUUAGCUUCUCUUCCUUCUCAUGGCUUGGCUCCAUAUCCUUUGCCUUUGACUAUGAAAUACACUUCUUUCUUCUCUUCCUGUGUUUUAUUUUUUAUUACAAAUUCCCUGAAAGAAAUGCUGCAUGUAAAUAAGCAAGUAAACUUAACUGUGUAAGGAAUGGUUGAUACAUUACAACAUGUAAGAAUAUUCAAAAUAUCUGAAACAAGAAAAACAGUUUCCCAAUGCAACCCCAGCACUAAAUUACCUUUGACAGAUACACAAGACAAUCAAGAUCUUCUUCAACAGACAGUAUUCAUCAACAUGGAUGAUUAUCUCUACAUUAUUUCACAAGCCAAGAAAAGAAACCCAGAUUCAUUUUCCCCAGUUAAACGAUCAAAACAACUGAUCAGUAAAAAU